ACUAAACCUAUCCUAAAAGGUUUUUUUUUUUAAAUUUAGAUCUUAUUGAAAAGUCUUCUCUAAACAGAAAAGAAGUAAGAAUCUACAGGAAAAGAGAAAAUCGACACGCCGUGAAGCGUGGGAAGGCCCGUCCUACUCGUGCAGGGCAGACAUCACUGUGGCUCUGCCCCAUGUCCAGGGUUCAGAGGUGGAGAAGCCCAGGGCACAGUGAAGUUCACAAAUGGUUCACCCUGGACCUGACAGGGUCGGGGCACAGUGUCUCCAGAGGAACUGACACUGUAUCGAGACCUUAAGGAUGCUCGAUCAGCCGGGAGAGAGGAGGGAUGUGCUGCCCAGACUGCUUCCUGACCUGCACAGGGAACACCUGACGUCUCAUCUCAGGGACUCUGAAGUCCAUAACACAGCGCUGUCCUCUAACCACCAUGCUGCACGCUGCUUCCAGGACUGAUUCGUGUAUUCAUCUCAAGAUUGUGCCCUAAAACAGUGUCUCCCCAGUCCUCACAGCGCUGCAGCCCCUGGUGACCACCACUCUACUGUCCCCUGUUACAAGUUCAGCUUUUUAUAUAAUAUAAGUGAGAUCAUACAGUAUUUGUCUUUCUAUGUCUGACUUACCUCCCUCAAGGUCAAGCCAUGUUGCUGCAAAUGACAGGAUUUCCUUCCUUCUCAAGGCUGCGUAAUAGUCCACUGUGCACACACACGUGUCUUUGUCCAUUUAACCGUGAUGGACAUGCAGGCUGUUUCCGCAUCCUGGCUGCCGUCGGCAGUGCUGCAGUGAAUAUGUGGGUGCAGAUGUCUCUUCAGUGCCCUCUUUUCGUCUCCUUUGUAUUUAUGCCCAGGCGUGGAAUUGCUGGAUCACCGAGAAUUCCAUUUCUGCUGGAUCAUGGGACAGUUCUGUUUAAAAUUUUUUGAGGAACCUCCAACACUGUUCUCCACAGGGACUGCACCAUUCACAUUCGCACCAGAAGUGCAGGAAGCGCCCUGCUCUCCACGUCCUUGCCAGCACUUGUCAUUUCUUAUCUUUUUGACAACAGCCCUUCUGGCAGGUGUGAGGUAACAGCUCACAGAGGGCAUCUGUGGAUCUUCUUUGGAAAAAUGUCUGUUUAGUUCUGCUCCCCAUUUUUAAAGCCAAAUUUUUUUUGUUACUAAGUUAUAGGAAUUAUUUAUAUAUUUUUGGAUAUUAACACCUUAUCAGAUACACGGUUGUCAAAUACUUUCUUCCAUUCUGUAGGUUGUCUUUUCAUUUUGUUGAUUGGUUCCUUUGCUACACAGAAAAUUUUUAGUUUGCUGUUGCCACACUAGCUAGUUUUUUCUUUUGUUUCUGGUGUUUUUGGUGUCAUAUCCAAAAAUCACUGCAAGACCCACGUCAGGCAGCUUCUUCCCUACAUUUCCUACUAGAAGCUUCAUGGUAUCAGGUCUCAUGUUAAGUCUUUAAUCCAUCUCAAGUUAAUUUUUGUGAGCGGGAUAGGA